rnacentral:lncRNA from 1 species
CACAUAGUGACAGGGACCCUUGGGCUCCUGGGGGUGGUGGCAGGAGCACAUGAGUGACAGCUGUUUCCAAAUAUGGACCGAUGACAAGAUGCUUCCAAGAGCCAAAAGAUUAGGAAAGAUCUUUUCAUCUUUCAAGUGAAAAAGAUAUCUGCUAGCAAGAAUAAUGAGGAUUUGAGAAAUCAUUGUGGAAAAAGAAGAUUUGUUUAUACGAAGCCAGUGACUUUGGCCUGACUGUCAUAUGUAAGCACAUCUGACAGAAGCAAAGGCAAACCUAAUAAUCCAAUGAUUACACCCCGAGCCCAUGUAAUUUGAGAAGUG